rnacentral:lncRNA from 1 species
AAAGGAGUAGCAUUGCUCCCGUACUAAUUUCUAAGACCUCAACACUGUGGCUACCAUGGAGGAUGGUCGCGGCGCUAGUUGGAAGUCCGAAGAAAAAAAAUAGGAGAAGUGUAGAGUGUACCGGUGCUCAAGGAGGAAGGUCGUGACGCUCUGACGUGUUUCACUAGAACACAGCUAUUCGAGAUUUUAUUUUUUAGGGCUUUUUAGUGGCUAUAAAUAGGUAUUUUUAGCAGCUAAAAAGAGAGGUUUGAGAGAGGAAAAA